rnacentral:rRNA from 1 species
GAUGAACGCUGGCGGCGUGCUUAACACAUGCAAGUCGAACGAGAAGUGAAGACGGAAACCUUCGGGCGGAAGGCUUUAUUUCGAGUGGCGGACGGGUGAGUAACGCGUGGGUAACCUGCCUCAUACAGGGGGAUAACAGUUGGAAACGACUGUUAAUACCGCAUAAGACCACAGCACCGCAUGGUGCGGGGGUAAAAACUCCGGUGGUAUGAGAUGGACCCGCGUUCGAUUAGCCAGUUGGCGGGGUAACGGCCCACCAAGGCGACGAUCGAUAGCCGAUCUGAGAGGAUGACCGGCCACAUUGGGACUGAGACACGGCCCAAACUCCUACGGGAGGCAGCAGUGGGGAAUAUUGCACAAUGGGGGAAACCCUGAUGCAGCGACGCCGCGUGAGUGAAGAAGUAUUUCGGUAUGUAAAGCUCUAUCAGCAGGGAAGAAAAUGACGGUACCUGAGUAAGAAGCCCCGGCUAACUACGUG